UCUCAGGCAAUUUUAAAUAAAUUUGAACAACUUCACUGUUGCCCAUUCCACAGGAAGACCCACAGGCCACAGCAGUGUCAUGAGCCCGAAUCAACUUCCAUUUCUAUGAAGCAGUCCAGAAAAGAAGAUAAUAGAUUAAUGUCAAAUGAUUCUUUGCUACAAAUACAAAAACCUGUAAUAAAAAACAGACAAUUCAACUCGAAUUCUAAACGGCAGUCAUCAAUGAAUCACUUAUUGAAUUGAAAGAUUUCAAAAAGGAUCUGCAACAAAAAAAGACCUUUUUGAAGGACUCUAUGGU
rnacentral:misc_RNA from 1 species